UACGUAGGGGGCUAGCGUUGUCCGGAAUCAUUGGGCGUAAAGAGCGUGUAGGCGGCCCGGUAAGUCCGCUGUAAAAGUCAAAGGCUCAACCUUUGAAUGUCAGUGGAUACUGCCGGGCUAGAGUCCGGAAGAGGCGAGUGGAACUCCUGGUGUAGCGGUGGAAUGCGCAGAUAUCAGGAAGAACACCAACGGCGAAGGCAGCUCGCUGGGACGGUACUGACGCUGAGAC
rnacentral:rRNA from 1 species